UACGUAGGGUGCGAGCGUUAAUCGGAAUUACUGGGCGUAAAGCGUGCGCAGGCGGUUAUGCAAGACAGAUGUGAAAUCCCCGGGCUCAACCUGGGAACUGCAUUUGUGACUGCAUGGCUAGAGUACGGGAGAGGGGGAUGGAAUUCCGCGUGUAGCAGUGAAAUGCGUAGAUAUGCGGAGGAACACCGAUGGCGAAGGCAAUCCCCUGGACCUGUACUGACGCUCAUGCACGAAAGCGUGGGGAGCAAACAGG
rnacentral:rRNA from 1 species